GGGGAAUGAAGAGUUGCAAGAAGAAAAAUGUGUAUAAGUUCUAAAAGUUCAUACGGAGCAUGCAAUGAUGGAAAUGGAUAUUGGAAAUUUUCACGGAUCGGAGGUUGAAAUCCAUCUAUUCACAAAGUAAUUGUCGGAGGAAUUCAAAUCGGUGCUUUCACUGAUUUACAUACUUUGGGUAAGUGAAUUGAA